CGUCCACAAAAUAUCUGAUACAUGGCAAUAUAUACGCCUAGCAUUGGGUCGGGUCAGACACACCUUUAGCCCAAACAACAAAUUAAUCAUCAUAGCCCAUACAAUGUAUACCAGAGAAUACAAUUAAUAUACAAUGUAUAUAUAGUGUGAACAAUCAUGUAAGCUCUUUCAUCUCGACACCCCCCCUCAAUUUGGAGGGGGAAACCACCUGCAACUUGGAUAACAGCGGAAGAAGCACACUGCCAGGCAAUGGCUUAGUGAGCAGGUCGGCCAGUUGACGAGAAGUAGGAACAUGAAGCAGC
rnacentral:lncRNA from 1 species